CCCACUAACUGCAGCAGGUAACUUCUCACCAUCAGCCCGAUAAAUACAUUGAAAUACGGUUAUUCGUCUUUCAGUUGGUAAAACUGUGUUAGUCUGCCGUCGUUAUAAGACAGGAACAGAGGAAUAGGACGUUCAGUAAUUUAGUGCAAGCUUUUAAAAACGACACAAACGCUGUAACGUUACCUGUGUUGAAGAGUCCAGCUCGACUUACACGGACGGCAUCCUCGAUGGUUCCAAUUUCCAGCCCAUUCCCCAAUUUUCAACCCCAAUGACAGACAACACACGCUGGAAUGGCUGUUUAGCUAAGGAAGGGAAUUGUAUAAAGAAUGGGCUGACGGCGCUCUUCCAAGAUUGGAGGCCAUUUUGUGGCUGAGCUCUGUGCUCACCAAUGUGACUAAUGGGAUGCCCUGGAGGACUUUCGGAGGAAACGGGCUCAAACUUUGGUUCGAGGAAAAAACAAGAUGCUGCUUAAGUUGAUAAUUAAACUGUCAUAAUGUGUGCUCACAUACUGUACGGUGGGUAUCCUUUGUCCCCAGACUAGCUCAUCUCAGUGAAGCGACCUUGGGAGGGGGAGCCUGCCUGCCUACCUUAUAGCUCCCAGCUCCUCACAAGCCCCCACAGAGCGUCUCAUUGUCUCAAAUUAAAGAUAAGGUCUGCCUACUCUGUGUACGGUAGCUACCCUACCUUUGGCAUGUGGUCGUUGCUAAUUACUUUGAGCUGUUAAGGGAGACAUAUCUGGGGAGACAGGCAGGAGGGAGAGACCUACAAACCCAGUUUAAAAGAAGAAUCUGAUUUUCCCAUUGCUCCCGAUGGCUUUGUUUGACCUGUUGGAUAUGCAUUGUUCUCUCACGACCGAUUCUAGGUUCGGUUAUAUACCUGUUGUUGUUUUGCUCCCUGGGAAAGUGAACAAAGUGAAAUACCGCAGCUCUGCGGAAGAUGUUUGCACUCAUGUUUCAAAUAUUUCAUCAUAUGUAAAUAAAUGUGUGGAAAUAUGUAUA